UCAUUGGAAAGCAAAAAUAGAGCUCUUGUAUAUCACUCUCUGGAUGUAAAAAUGGUGUGCUGCCUACUUACCAUGAGGAGUGAUUUCUCUCGAGAAAGAGAAGCUGGUUUCUCCAGGCUGAUACUUGACAUGUAAAGUGAGACCAUUAUAGAGUCUCGGUAUGGCUUAUGAUUCUUUCCUGGCUCCAGGUGAGACAGAGCUGCUCUAAUAUCUGCCAGUCAUGUGUAUAUCUAGGCAGGCACGGUAGAGUCUGCUUAUAAUCUCAGCACCAAGGAGAUGAGGCAAAAGGAUUAGGAGUUCAAGGCUAGCCUAGGCUAUAUAAGACUCUGUCUGAAAACAGGAAACAAAUAGGGCCAGCAGGAUGCUCCAUGAGUAAAGCACUUGCUGCCAGCCCUGAUGAUCUUAGUCCAACUACUGAACCCGUGUGGUGGAAGGAGAGAACCAAUUCUGCAAUUUAUCUUCCAUGUGUGUAUUAUAGCACUUCUACACAUAUAUACAUACCAUCAGUAAAUAUGAAAUACAUUGAUUUUUUUAGAUUUAUUUUAUGUGAGUGUUUUGCUUACAUGAAUCUCUGUAUCAUGUGCAUCCUGGAACUGGAGGGAUAGGUGGUUAUGAACCAUCACGUGGGUGCUAAGAAUUGAACGCAGGUCUUCUGUAAGAACAGCAAGUGCUCUUAACCAGUGAGCCAUGUCUCCAACCCUAACAGUAUCAUUAACAAUAGUGUGCAUGUCUGAUUUUUCUCAAGUGUAUAGGACUUGAGAAAUCCUAUGGAAAUCCAUGGAUUUGAUGCUAUGACAGAUGACACUGAAGAAUGGAUGACAAAGAUAGGAAUCUUUGGCUUCUCCCAUCUUUUCUUUCUUGCAGGUGGUCUUUCUGUUGACUCACUCUGUGUGGAGGAAAAGAAGGAGGCAGCGAGCAUGGGGGCCACUGGCUAGAUGUUCAUCAGAAUGAACCACUUCCAUGACUACAUUUCCCCUAUGUGUGGGAUGUGAGAUCCCGAUCUGAUCUCUUGGUUGGAAGAAGAGUUACAGUGGGAAGAGGUUUCCAGGAUGAGUAUUCACGAGAAAUAUUUGUGAUCUGAAGUUCCUUCAGUCUAGAAAUAGAAUAAAGUUGUUUGCUUGUUUGUUUUUGUUUUCCCUCCCCUUUGAUAGGGCCCUAGUGUGUAGCCCAGGCUGGCCUCUACCUAUGUAUUUCUGCUUUACCUUAUGAGUACUGGGUGCACCCACACACCAAGCCAUAAUGAAAGUUUUUCUUUUCUUUCCACUACUGGGGAUUGAACCUUGAGUUUACUUAGGUAAACACUCUUGCUACUAAGACAUAUCUUUAGUUCUACAAUGAAACUGUAAGACACAGAUCUGCCCUCAGUAGGUGCCAGUCCUUUAUCUCAGAAGGAAUUCUGAGUCCCUUACCCUUUGUGCACACUCUUCUACGAUCCCACAAAAUGGCCUGCUAAGUUUACUUUUUACAUUUUUUCCUAUGCUAUGUCAAGAUCUUUCCUUCUCCUCAUCCUUGAUAAUGUUGUUUCCCAUCAGUUUUCAUUUUUAAAACGUGAUUUAGUCUGGCAGUGGUGGUGCACACUUUAAUCCCAGCACUCAGGAGGCAGAGGCAGACAGAUAGAUCUCUUGAGUUCAAGGCCAGCCUGGUCUACAGAGCCCCAGAUCAGCCGAGGCUACACAGACAGACUCUGUCACUGGGGGGAAAAAGGAAAAAGAAAAGAGAGAGGGAGUUGGGAGAGGGAGAGAGAAAAGCAAUUUGUAAUAAACUGUUUAAAACUAUGACUUGUAAUUUUACCCUUGACAAGUUUUAACCUAAUUAAAAUGAUCAAGAUUUAGUUUCUUCUUUUUUAUAUUUUUAUCUAUUUAUUUUGGUAGGCUUUCAUACUGUGGCCUGGCUGGCCUUGAACUCAGUCAUCCUGUUUCAGUCUCCUGCAGCUGUCCUGACACACAGGACUUCUUGCUUUCUACUCCUGCAACCCUCCUCAGUUCUGAACCUUCAUUUUGUUAUUAUGGGGUUUUGUUUGUUUGUCUUUAGAGUGGAAAUGCAAGAUGCUUUGAGGGAGCAAACUUCCAACGUGGUGCAAAUGGUAAGAUUAAUAACCAAGGAUGUUCAUUACUUUGCACAUUCUGCAAAGAUUAUAGAUUCUGCUGUAGAAAAUCAGUAGCACUUACUCAGGAUAAGGUACGGGGAGCAGCAUUUUAAAACAGAAAAACAGAGUAUAAUAAUGUGAAACCCAUCAUGAAACCAAAUCCUUCAAGAUUCCUAAGUACACAUUUCCACAUGUACACAUUUUUUUUUGAAUGUAUUUCUUUAUUUACAUUUCAAAUGCUAUUCCCUUUCCUGGCUUCCUGUCCCUAAGCCCCCUAUCCCCUCCCCCAAAAGUGUGCUCCUCCCCACAACCCCCCCACACCCUCCCCAACAUUCUCCUGCACUGGGGUUCAACCUUGCCAGGACCAAGGGCUUCCCCCUCCACCGGUACCCAACAAGACCACUCUCUGCUACAUAUGCAGCUGGAGCCCUGGGUCAGUCCAUGUACAGUCUUUUGGUAGUGGUCUAGUCCCUGGAAGCUCUGGUUGGCUGGCAUUGUUCCCAUGGGGUUGCAAGCCCCCCUCAACUCACCCAAUCCCCGCUCCAAUUCCCCCAAAGGGAGUCCCAUUCUCAGUUUAGUUGUUUGCUGCUAGCGUUAGCCUCUGUAUUUGACAUAGACAUCAAAUUUUUAAAGCAAUUAAUUUAUGUGGUGUUUUCUUUCUCUCUCCCUCUCCCUCUCCAUGUCCCUCUCUCUUAGGCAAAUGUCUGUAUGUGUUCAACUAAAAUAUGCACCAAUGGUAUGAGCAAUAGAUUUGUGGAUCUCUCAAAGUAAAACCUACAAAAUAUGAUUGAAUAAUCCUUUAGAUAAAAUGAGUACAAGGGAAUGGAAAACCAGACCAUAACUGAAGAUUUGGGCUUCAGGAUUUCUACAUCUAUGCAUCUACACAUGUUUCUCAGUUUCGAGAGUCUUUAAGGAAUUUUUAUGAAGACAUAUAGGAACCAUUUCAAAGAUAGAACAGAUGAUAGAUGAUUCCUGCAUUAGGGUUUUGUCAUUCAAUGUGGAAAAACCAGCAGAAGUUACAUACAUGUAAUAAGAAUGCCAAGGAUCUAAUAUUUCUGUCUUCAUAAUAAUCGAAACCCUUAAUUUUAAAUAAUCCAUUGAUUUAUUCUUUCUUCAACAGGCAGGAAGCCACAGUGCUUGGGAACUCUGUGAUUGUAUCAACAUAAAGAUACCUUCAGAGAGCAUUUGUAUUUUAAGAGGCAUAUGCAAAUGGAAACUCAACACCGUGAUUUCAGUCAGUGUGGAAGCACCUUCCCUCUCUAAGAGACAUGAGCUUUCUCUGUUGAUCAGCUUGUAGGGGACUUUAAGAUGACCCCAAAUGUUACUCACCAGAAAACAGGCUUGCAGGACAACUCUGUUGAAUGCACCGACUUCCUUAAUCAGUCAUAUUUUAAGGCAUACAUGAGAAUCCAUAAUGGAAAAAAUUCUAUAUGAAUUGACUCAAUUUUCAGGAGAUUUUUACAUGUUCCACAGUGGAGCUCUGCCUAUUCAAGUGUACACCAUAAAAGUCGAGGAGUGUAAGAUUUGAGGGAAAGUUUUUGGGUAUUCUUCAAAUUUUAAGAGUCACAUGCGAACCCACACUGGGGAGAAACUUUAUGAAUGUAAAAUAUAUAAAGAAUCCUUCACUGCUUCUUCAAGUCUAACUGGACAUUUCAGAAUUCACACUGGAAAAAACCCUAUCAGUGUAAGGAGUGUGGAGAAGCUUUUACUAAGCCCUCAGGACUUUCUACACAUGUACAAAGGAUGUAUGCAAGUUAUGUGGGAGAUCCUUCAUGAUUUCUUCAAAUAUGACUGGACGUUUAAGAAUUCCCACUGGAGGGCUGGAGAGAUGGCUCAGUGGCUAAGAGCACUGACUGCUUUUCCAGAGGUCCUGAGCUCAAUUCCCAGCAACCACAUGGUGGCUCACAACCACUUGUAAUGGGAUCUGAUGCCCUCUUCUGGUGUGUCUGAAGAGAGCAAGCAACAGCGUACUCAUAAAAAUAAAAAAAUUAAAAAAAAAAAAGAAUUCCCAUUGGAGAGAAACCCUAUCAGUGUAAAAUGUGGGAAAGCCUCCCAUGCAUCUUCCUACCUUCAUAAACAUCUAAGAACACAUUCCAGAGGAAACCUUACAUAUGUGGUAAGUGUGGGAAGGCCUUUUGCCCCUCCUCCUGCCCUAGGAAGCGGGUAAGAACUCAUGGUGCAGAGAAACCUUACAAAUGUAGGGAAUGUGGCAAAGCCUAUAAAAGGUGUUAUCUACUGAAUGAACAUUUAAAAACUCAUGGUGGGGAAACCCUUUGAUUGCAGGGCAUGUAGGAAGUCUGAGAAGCUCUGCAUGCCGUAAUAAGCACAUUCGUCAUCACGCUGGAAUCAAACCUUAUGAUGAAAGUACUGUGGGGAAGCCUUCACUGUUUCUUCAGGUCUAACUGAACUCAUAAGAUCUCACACUGGAGAGAGGCCCUAUGAACCUAAGGCAUGUGGGAAAGUAUGAAGGUGUUACCUACUGAUGUACUCAAGUGGGAAAGGCCUUUUGAAUGUAAGGUGUGGGAAACUUUGGAAAUCUGUCUUGCCUUAAUAAGCACAUUGGAACUCACACCAGGAUAAAACCCUAUAAAUGUAAACACUGUGGAAAAGACUUCAUGGUUUCUUCUAGCCUAGCUGAAGAAGUAAGGAAGCCGUCACACAACAUCCUCAAACCUCUAUCACCACGCACAGACUCACAAUAGAGAGGUUUCCGCUAAGUAUCAAGGGUGUGGGGAAAACACAGUGAGUUUUACCAACUGACUGAACAUUUAGUAAAUCAGUCUGGACAGAAACCCUUUGGUUGGAAAGAAUGUCGAAAGCCCUUCAAGAAUUCUCCAUCAUAAUGGAAUUUACAUUGGAGAAGCCUUAAUAAUGUAAGAAAUGUGGGUUAGCCUUCGAACCAGCUUGUUUGAAAACAUGAAAGUUCUCUCAUUCUCAAGAUGCCCACGAAUUUGAGAAGCACAUGAGAGCCAUUGGGAUAUCAUUAAAGUGGACUAAUAUGUAAGCCCACCCUGGAGCUGUGACGUCAUAGAUAUGAAAGCCCUACUUGCUGAGGACUUGCUAAAUACAUAAGAUUUCACAGUGCAAGAACUGUUGUAUGCAAUGUGGAAAUAUUCUUUACAUUCACUGUGAUCUCACAGUGCAUAUGAAGGCAAGGAAGGUUGCAAACUCAGUGUUUUCUACAUAUUGUUCAACCUUUAAUAAACAUGGCAGUUUAUAACCAAGAGAAAAUGAGUGGUGACUAUAUGAGAAUUAUGGCUACAUCAUGAAAUUAAUCCUGACAGAGAUAGGACCUUCUGACUUUUGUUGCUGUUUGAAGCAGUCAAAGUUGAACUAAAUCUCUGUGUAUCAGGGGAUGGCCUUGAACUCCUCUUGAUCCUGAUGUGCAAACACAUGCACACACACGCGCACACACACAGACACAGACACAGACACAGACACACACACACACACCUCCUGAGUGUUGUGCUUACAAGCAUGUACUACCAUCCCAGUUUUUAUUCAGUACAAGAGAGUCAACCCAGGCCUUUGGGUAUACUCGGUCCUCUACCAGGUACACCCUCAGCCCCUUUUGGGUAGUUCUUAUAUUUAUUUUGAACACGUGUGAUUCUGCCCUAAGCAUUCCUCAAGUGAUGUCUAUUUUGCUAUAUUGCAGCACCAUUCCCACUAAGUUACUGUGCCUUCCAGAUUGCUCCAAAAAGAAGUAAACUUCCAGAAUGUUAACUAAUAAAUUUGUUGUCUGGAGAUUAAAGGACUUAGUAUAUACUAUACUAAGCACGUGUUGUACCCUGGAGCUGUACUCACACCCUCAGAUCCUAUUUUAAUAGUAUAUACUCUACAGUUGCCACACUUUAAGCAUGAUCCACCUCCAGUCGAAAACAGAAGCCAAGUUUAAAAUUCAAUAGUCCUCCUCCUCAUCUUCCUCUUCCUCCUCCCCCUCCUUCUCCUCCUCCUCCUCUUCCUUGACUGAGUCUCACUGACCCCCAACCCAUAGGGAUCCACCUGCUGUUGCCUCCUGAGUGCUGGGAUUAAAGAUAUAUACCACCAUGCCCAGCUAUGACCAGCUCUUAAGUUGUUCAAAUAUCUUUUGGGUGGCUGGGAAUAUAGUUCAGCAGUAGAUUGCCUGCCUGGCAUGCAUGAGUCCCUAGGUUUAGUCACAACAACAACAACAACAACAACACACACACACACACACACACACACACACACACACACAAGUUAUGCUUUCAUAGUUGAUUUUUGCAGAUAAAAAAUGAGAGUUCAAAAGGGUAGGUAAGUGAAGAAAGGUAAGUGAGUGAGUACCAGAAGUGGGAAAUGCCUGUUUCACAACCACCAGGCAGUCUUACACUGAGAAAGGAAAUUCCUGUACCAUCAUGCAGUGUAGAGACAGUGAGAACCCUCUUCUUUUUUCUGUUUAGAUCUACUCCACAGACUGGCAACAAUCAGAUUACAUUGAUAAGUCAAGCAACAAUGAGACUGACAGUAGCCCUCUUUGGGAUCUGUCCUUCUGUGUCCGUCAUACUGUGGAAGCAAACACCUCUGGAACUUAAUCACAAUGAACAUGGCUGACAUCGUGUUCUGCUGUGUUGCAAAUCCUAUCCAGCAAUUCCUGGGUAUGACCUACAGGUGCACACACCAAGAUCAGCACUAGCAGGUUUCAGUCUUGGGGAUCCAACUUUGUGUUUUUCUGAUGGUUCUACACCUGAUGACUGAAACAUUGGGGUUUGCCUGUAAGGCCAUGAGGGCUGUGCCACCCAAUGGCUCUUUCUGUGGUUCAUAUUCCAGCCAGAGUAGCAGUCAUCUCAAACAAACUCAACAAUAAGCCUCACACAGAAGAGAGCGUGCACCUGCAGGCUGUGAAUUCGUAGUGAGGAGUAUGCUAUGGAGUCUGCUGGUGUGGUAGAGCCCCAGGGUAGAACUAUGCUUAGAAUAAUAUAUACGAAGUCCUCUUUUAAUCUCCAAACAAAUUAAUUAGUUAAUAUUUGAGAAGUUUACCAUUUUUUUGGCGGGGGGACUUCCCAUAAACAUAAUCUUCAUAUGUAAGCCAGACUGAUCCCAAACCUGUAAUCCUCCUGCCUUACCUCAUCAGUGCUGGGAGUGCAAAUAUGUACCAUACUAUUCCCGGUUCGUCCCACAUUGAUUCAACCUGCUGACUGGAUUAAUAAUUAAUUUCCAAAUGGAAACAACCAGGUCCUAAUUCUGCCUAAAUGUGAUAUAACUAUCCCUUGUGUAACUGCAAACACAUUAUUAGAGUAGGUGGUACUGUUCCUUGAGCAACAUUCUUUUAGUAUCGCAACUUAAAUAUGAUAACCAUCGAUACUCGAUGCUCUCUUAAUAUCACAUAAUAUGAUGGAAAAAAGAAAACCCAAAUACCUGUACAAAGGCUUUUUUCUUUCUUUCUUUCUUUCUUUCUUUUUUUUUUUUUGAGAAAGGAUUUCUUUAUCUAGCCCUGGCUGUCUAGGAACUCACACUGUAGAUCAGAAUGGCCUCAAACUCACAGAAAUCUGCCUGCCUCUGCCUCCUGAGUGUUGUGAUUAAAAUUGUGCACUACCACCCAGCAUUACAAAUACAUUUUAAAUAUGACAGAAACACUCAUUAUCAAUUAUAAUCCUUGUGUCUGCAACUGCUUCCAUGGCCUUAGCUAGUAUUUAUAACUACCUUCCUGCUACCCAUUCUUUAUUUCCAACCCAGCAAACAUCCCAACAGGUCUUUUCCUGGAGGAGUGACCCACACCUUCAUACCUGACAAGUGUGUGCUUGUUAUCCUGCCUGGAAAGCUACUGUAGUUUCCUACUGCCUUUAAUCACAGGACUUGGUAGCUCCAAGAGACUUCCUAAAACUGUGGUUCUCAAACUUUGUGGUGCAGAGGAGUGGAAGGGUCCUUUCACCCGGCAUUCAUUGCACAUCAGAUAUCUGUAUAUCAGGCAUUUACAUUACUAUUUAUAACCGUAGCAAAAUUACAGUCAUAAAGUAACAAGGAAAUAAUUUUAUAAUUGAUGGUCACCACAACAUGAGGAAGUGCCACAACAUUAGAAAGGUCUAGAGCCAUGCCCUGGAGGUUCUCCUGUACUACAGGCAUAACCCUCCUUACCUGCACCUGGAGAAGCGAUCGAUUCAUUACCCCUAACACUAGGAUUCCUCUCUUAGCCUGUUAAGUUCAUCUGAAGACAAAGUGGUCAGGGGGACUCAGAACUUCCAGUUCAAUGGAACAUUUGCUGUGGUUCCUGGCAUGAUUGCCCCCCACACACCCCCUGGAACCAAAACUUCGAGGCCAGCAGAAUCUAAAAGUUGUGGGAACAAGAAGCAAAAUCUCUUCUAGAGGGUCCCCACUGGUGACAAUGAGCACGACGAUUCGCUUUUCUUCCUAGAUUGACUUCUAGAUCCCUUCUCCCUCCUGAUUCCUAGAACCAUGGUAACCGGCUCUCUCUCUCUCUCUCUCUCUCUCUCUCUCUCUCAGAUAGAUAGAUAUAGAUAGAUAGAUAGAUAUAUAGAUAGAUAGAUAGAUAGAUAGAUAGACAGACAGACAGACAGACAGACAGACAGACAGACAGACCGACCGACCGUAUUAUAUAUUGGGCGCUGAUUCAAAGCACAUACCUCCUUCUGGAGUACCCUGCCCCAGCCCUCCAGGCUGCUGCCACCUGAUUGGUGUUGUAACUGUGUCUUCAAAAGGCUGUUCCUCCUUUCUCUGAGGCCAGCUGCUUCAGGAUGGUGGGAAAUAUGGUGAAAACCAGUGGAUUUAACUUUGGUAAGUGGUAUCUAUCAAGAAAAUUGUCCAUUUCUUUUAGAUUUUCCAAAGUUGUAGAGUACAGGUUUUUGAAGUAUAACCUACUGACUCUUUGGAUUUCCUUGGUGUCUGUUGUUAUGUCCCCCCUUUUUUGUUUCUGGUUUUGUUAAUUUGGAUUUUCUCUCUUUGCCUUUUAGUCUAUCUUGUUAAUUUUGUUUCACUGGUUCUAUCAUUCUCUUUGUUUCUAUUUUGUUGAUUUCGGCCCUGAGUUGGGUAAUUUCCUGCCAGCUACUCCUCUUGGGUGAACUUCUUCAUUGUUCUAGAGCUUUCAGGUGCUGUGACGCUGCUAGGAUGGGAUUCUGUUCUCUUUACGAAGGCCCUCAGUGCUGUGUAUGAUCUUUCCUUUUAGCACUGGUUUCGUUGUAUCCCGUAAGUUUGGGUAUGUUAUGUCUUCAUUUUCAUUGAAUUCUAGAAAGUAUGUAUGUAUGUAUGUAUGUAUGUAUGUAUGUAUGUAUGUAUGUAUUUAUUUAUUUAUUUGCCUUAACCCAGAGGUUAUUCAGUUUCCAUGAGUUUGCUGGCUUUCUGUUGUUGUUGAAAUCCACCUUUACUCCAUGGUGGUCUGAUAGGAUGCAGGCAGUUAUUUCAAUUUUCUUGUAUCUGUUAGACUUGCUUUGUGACCAAGUAUUUUGGAGAAGGUUCCCUGAGGUGCUGAGAAGAGUGUAUAUUCUUUUAUCUUUGGUUAAAAUAAAUGUCUGUAGAGAUAUAGAAUUUGAGUCAUACUAACAGCUCUGGAUAACAUUUCUCUGUUUAGUUUUUGUCUGGAUGACCUAUCCAUUGGUAUGAGUGGGGGGGGGGGUUGAAGUGUACUAUGAAUGUGUGGGGUUCAACAUGUGAUUUAAGCUUUAGAAACGUUUAGUGAUAUAGGUGCUCUUGAGUUUGAGGCAUAGAUGAUCAGAAUUUAGAUACCGUCUUAGCGGAUUUUCCUUUGAUGAGUAUGAAGUGUCGUCCUUCCCCAUCUCUUUUGAUGAAUUUUGGUUGGAAGUCUAUUCUGUUAGAUAGUAUAGUGCUGGCAGUAGCUUGGAGCUAUGUCUCCAGGACCCACCCGACAGCUGCAGACCUCUUCACUUCACCCCAGCAAAAUGCUGAAAGAGUUGAGAAAGAAAAAAAAUAUGAAUUUCAAGGCCCAGAGGCAAAAGAUGAGUUUCCCUCUGUGAUCAGUGUGUAGGUCUGAGCAAGUCAGUAGGACAGAAAGCAAUAAAGGUGUGAAGCAGCCAUAGGGAGACCCCUCUCAGAAAAAAAUAAAAUAAGGCAUAAGUGGAAGAGCGACACAACUGCACAGAGCUUUCUGGGAACUAGAACUGCAGGCCAAGGAGACAGCUCAGUGGACAAAGGCACCUGCCACCAAGACUGAUGCCCAGGUUAGAUCUCAGAACCCACAGGCUGAAAGGAGAGCACUGGUCCUCCAACCUCCACAGCCAUUGUGACCCCUAUGACUCUACACACACACACACACACACACACACACACACUCUUACAAACACUUUUUGUUUGUUUUUGAGUUUUGGUUUUGGAGACAGGGUUUCUCAGUGUAGUCUGGCUGCCCAGGAACUCACUCUGUAGACUAGGCUGGCCUCAAACUCUGAUUGGCUUGCUCUGCCUCCUGGAUGCGGUUAUUAAAGGUGUGUGCCACCACUGGCCAGCCAAAGGUACUUUUAAAAAGAAACAAUGUUGAGCCCUACUCAGGGCCUUCUGCACUAGGGAGUCACUAAAGGACCUAGAGCUCCAGAAGCAACAUUAUCCACACAUACUGUUUUGGGGGGUGUAUGAGUCAGGGUUCACAGAACUUAUGUGUGGUCUCUAUACAGUAAGGGCAUUUGUUCAUGACUUACAGUCUGUAGUCCAACUUCCCAACAAUGGUCAGCAGCAACUGUGAAUGGAAGCCCAAGGAUCUAGCAUUUGCUCAGUCCCACAAGGCAAGCAGGCGAAGAAGAGAGUCUUCCCUCUUCCAAUGUCCUUAUGUAGGUCUCCAGCAGAAGGUGUGGCCCAGAUUAAAGGUGUGCACCACCACGCCUGGAUCUGGGACCUGCUUUGUCCCAGAUAAACUUGAACUUAAAGAUUUCCUUGACUGGGAUUCAUAGCCACUUUGCCUCAAGAUCUCCAUGCCAAGAUCCAGGUCAGGAACUUGUAUCUUCCAGCCUCAAGAUCAGGAUCACAGGUGAGCCUUACAAUUCUGGAUUGUAGUUCAUUGCAGAUAUAGUCAAGUUGACAAGCAGGAACAGCCACUGCAGGGGGCUGGAGAGAUAGCUCAACAAUUAAGACCAAUUAUUGUUUUCCCUGAAGACCAGAUCAAUUUCCAGCACCCACAUCAGUCACCUUAUAAGCACCUUAACUCCAGUUCCAGGAGAUCCAAUACCUUCUUCUAGUCCCCUAGGACUUCAAAGUGCUCACCCACACACACACAUACACACAUACACACACACACACACACACACACACACACACACACACACACACACACACGCACAAAGAUAAAUAUUGCCCAAGCAUGGUGGUGCGUACCUUUAAUCCCAGCACAGGGAAAGCUGAAUCAAAACAUCAAGUUCAAGGCCAGCCUGGCCUAUGUUAGUGGUCCUCAAUCUAUAAGUCUCAACUCCUUUGAGGGUCAAACAAUCCUUUCACGGGGUCAUCUAAGACCAUUGGAAAACAUAUUUACAAUUCAGAUCAGUAGUAAUAUUAUAGUUAUGAGAUAGCAACAGAAAUAACUUUAUAGUUGGAAGUCACCACAAUAUGAGGAACUGUAUUAGUGGGUCAUAGCAUUAGGAAUCAUAGCAUUAGGAACGUUGGAAUCAUAGUGAGUUCCACAACAGCCAGGGCUACAUUGAAAGAGCUUGUCUCAGAAAAAUUAAACGAAGAGGGAUCAGUGGGCGCUCCACAAGCUUGACCACCUGGGUUUGAUCCCACAGUGGAAAGAUAGAACAGACUUCUAAACACUGGCCUCUGUCACAUGCAUGGCUGCACUUACAGACCGCCCUGCCCCUCUCCAACUAACCCCAGAAAUGUAUUGAUAACAAUCGUGGAUGCUUCAGAGUCUAAGAUCAAACUGUAGGUGUGGUAUCUGCUGAGGAUAUCACAGGUUACAUGUCUUUCCUGUGUCCUCACAUGGUAACAUAGUGGGAUGGAAAGGGUCUUGAAAGCAAAUUUUAAUUAUGUGUGGAAGAGGAUUGCACCCAUGUGCACAUGCUAAGACAUGUUGAGUUAUGCUGCUCUGUCACUUUCUGCCCUAUUUGCUUUUGACUGACCAGGCCUCUCAUGGAAACAGGAGCUAGGCUAGCAGCCACCAAGCCCAGCAAUCUCCCUGUCUCCACCCACAGUGCUGGGGCCUCACCUGGCUUUCUGAUGCUGCUAGGAAUUUGAACCCAGGACCUAAUGCUCGUGCAAGUGCUCUCCCACACUGACCUAGGUCUCCAGCCUCUCAGAGGUAUCUUUGAUAGGGAGCACAAAUCUCAUUCACGAGGGCCCUAAAGUUCCAUGUGGUAGAAAUAAAAAAUACCAUGUCCCAUGUGAAUUGGCCACCUGAGUGGCUCUGAAGUCCCUUUGAAAGCUCACAUGAAGGCUUUGUAUUCUAAGACAAGAAGCGACCCUUCUGACUUUCUGACGGGUAAACCUGGAAUAAGGAACUGAGCCAUCUCCAGCUCAGCACCACCCCUCAGGGGGCUCCACCCACAGCAGGUGGAGAGACCACAGAUGUGCACUGCCCCCAGCUCAGAUCAAAGUGAUACAUCUGGCACCUGCAUGAUCAAACUGUCCCCAUUCAAAACAGGAAGAGGCACCAGUUCAAGCCCCUUCGCCAGGCCCUGCCCCCACCCCUCUGACCUGACAGUCUCCAUCUUUCCCCUUUGUUCACUUUGCUACAGAAAUGUUUCUGGAAAUGUCCAAUUCAUUCCCUGGGGUCUUUUUGUUGUUGCAUUCGUGUGUGUGUGUGUGUGUGUGUGUGUGUGUGUGUGUGUGUGUGUGUGUGUGUGUGUGUGCAAAA